rnacentral:rRNA from 1 species
GGGGAAUAUUGCACAAUGGGGGAAACCCUGAUGCAGCGACGCCGCGUGGGGGAUGACGGCCUUCGGGUUGUAAACCUCUUUCAGUAGGGAAGAAGCCUUCGGGUGACGGUACCUGCAGAAGAAGUACCGGCUAACUACGUGCCAGCAGCCGCGGUAAUACGUAGGGUACAAGCGUUGUCCGGAAUUAUUGGGCGUAAAGAGCUCGUAGGUGGUCUGUCACGUCUGCUGUGGAAACGCAAGGCUCAACCUUGCGCGUGCAGUGGGUACGGGCGGACUAGAGUGCAGUAGGGGAGUCUGGAAUCCCUGGUGUAGCGGUGAAAUGCGCAGAUAUCAGGAGGAACACCGGUGGCGAAGGCGGGACUCUGGGCUGUAACUGACGCUGAGGAGCGAAAGCAUGGGGAGCGAACAGGAUUAGAUACCCUGGUAGUCCAUGCCGUAAACGUUGGGCACUAGGUGUGGGGUCCAUUCCACGGAUUCCGCGCCGUAGCUAACGCAUUAAGUGCCCCGCCUGGGGAGUACGGCCGCAAGGCUA